AGAAAACCUUCUCGGAAGUUGUCGCCGUUUUUGAUUCCAUGACGUCUUACACGAUGUCAGUAGUGUCGAACCAAUAUCGCACGUGCCACCGGAGGUAGUGCAAUAACAUUGCGAAUUGUUUCGGCGAAAGAAUGGAAACGACGGUGGCGAGUUAUCGAUCAAUACUGCGGGCAGUGGCCGGUGGAUCGGCGCGCGUUCGUCUCUCGCUCCACUCGUACACUCACACAUAGGGACAGGCACAUACACAUGCGUCUCAGUCCGUCGUCACUUUUCGCUCCUCUUUUUAUACGCGGCAUUUCAUCCCGAUCUCCUCAUUUUCCUCCACUAUUGAUGAACCUACUUUGCUUGACUACAGCCAC
ensembl:ncRNA F29F11.7 ncRNA